UUCGUGUGAACAGUGGUUGAUCACGAGUUAGUCGGUCCUAAGUUCAAGGCGAAAGCCGAAAAUUUUCAAGUAAAAAACAAAUACAUAUUUAAAAACACUUAUAUUAAUAUAUAUAUUUAAACACUUGAAUAAUUUUGAACGAAAGGGAAUACGGUUCCAAUUCCGUAACCUGUUGAGUAUCCGUUUGUUAUUAAAUAUGGGCCUCGUGCUCAUCCUGGCAACAGGAACGACCAUAAAGAAGCCGUCGAGAGAUAUCGGAAGAGUUUUCUUUUCUGUUUUAUAGCCGUACUACCAUGGAAGUCUUUCGCAGAGAGAUAUGGUAGAUGGGCUAGAAGAGCAUGACAUAUACUGUUGUGUCGAUAUUUUCUCUUCGGACCUUGAAAAUUUAUGGUGGGGAUACGCAAACUUCUCAACAGGCCGUACCAAUAUCCGCAGCUGGUCUCCAAGGUGAAGAGUCUCUAGUCGAUAAAAUA
rnacentral:rRNA from 1 species